GAUGAACGCUGGCGGGCGUGCCUCAAACAUGCAAGUCGAGCGAGGCUAUGAGUUACCGCAAGGUAAGGCAUAGCCUAGCGGCGAACGGGUGAGUAACACGUGGGUAACCUACCUGGAAGACAGGGAUAACGAUUCGAAAGGGGUCGCUAAUACCUGAUAAUAUCCAUCUGCCGGAUGGCGGAGGGAAGAAAGGGGAAACCCGCUUUCAGAUGGGCCCGCGUCCCAUCAGCUAGUUGGUAAGGUAAAGGCUUACCAAGGCGACGACGGGUAGCCGGUCUGAGAGGAUGUACGGCCACACUGGGACUGAGAUACGGCCCAGACUCCUACGGGAGGCAGCAGUUGGGAAUCUUAGGCAAUGGACGAAAGUCUGACCUAGCGACGCCGCGUGAGGGAAGAAGGCCUUCGGGUUGUAAACCUCUGUCAUGGGGGAAGAAGGAAGUGACGGUACCCCAAGAGGAAGCCCCUGCUAACUACGUG
rnacentral:rRNA from 1 species